UCCCUUUGGCAGCACAUAUACUAAAAUUGGAAUGAUACAGAGAAGAUUAACAUGGCCCCUGCACAAGGAUAACACACAAAUUCGUGAAGCAUUCCAUAUUUUU
ensembl:snRNA Gm23579 predicted gene, 23579